UACGAAGGGGGCUAGCGUUGCUCGGAAUUACUGGGCGUAAAGGGCGCGUAGGCGGAUAGUUUAGUCAGAGGUGAAAGCCCAGGGCUCAACCUUGGAAUUGCCUUUGAUACUGGCUAUCUUGAGUUCGGGAGAGGUGAGUGGAAUGCCGAGUGUAGAGGUGAAAUUCGUAGAUAUUCGGCGGAACACCAGUGGCGAAGGCGACUCACUGGCCCGAUACUGACGCUGAGGCGCGAAAGCGUGGGGA
rnacentral:rRNA from 1 species